rnacentral:rRNA from 1 species
UACAGGGGGGGCAAGCGUUGUUCGGAAUUACUGGGCGUAAAGGGCUCGUAGGCGGCCAAUUAAGUCCGACGUGAAAUCCCCAGGCUUAACCUGGGAACUGCGUCGGAUACUGAUUGGCUUGAAUCCGGGAGAGGGAUGCGGAAUUCCAGGUGUAGCGGUGAAAUGCGUAGAUAUCUGGAGGAAUACCGGUGGCGAAGGCGGCAUCCUGGACCGACAUUGACGCUGAGAACCGAAAGCUAGGGGAGCAAACGGG